rnacentral:rRNA from 1 species
UAGUCCACGCCCUAAACGAUGUCAACUAGACGUUGGGUUCAUUAAGGAACUUAGUGUCGAAGCUAACGCGUUAAGUUGACCGCCUGGGGAGUACGGCCGCAAGGCUAAAACUCAAAGGAAUUGACGGGGGCUCACACAAGCGGUGGAGCAUGUUGCUUAAUUCGAGGCAACGCGAAGAACCUUACCUAGGCUUGACAUGUAUGGAUUAACUUUUCGAAAGAUUAGCCACGCCCUUUGGGUGGAACAUACACAGGUGCCGCAUGGCUGUCGUCAGCUCGUGUCGUGAGAUGUUGGGUUAAGUCCCGCAACGAGCGCAACCCUCGCCAUUAGUUGCCAGCAUUUAGUUGGGCACUCUAAUGGGACUGCCGGUGAUGAGCCGGAGGAAGGUGGGGAUGACGUCAAGUCCUCAUGGCCCUUACGGGCUGGGCUACACACGUGCUACAAUGGUGGUGACAGUGGGCAGCGAGACCGCGAGGUCAAGCUAAUCUCCAAAAACCAUCUCAGUUCGGAUUGUUCU